AAGAAAAAGUGUGAUUUUUCAAGGAAUCAAGUGUUUAAAGGUGGUGAGCUAUCUGAUACGGGUAAAAGACUACACCCGAGGAUCGAGAAUAGGAGUAUAUCUACUCCUAGUACAGCUCAAAAUAGGCAGUAGAUUGUCAAUUGCAUCGAGAAGUAAAUUUCGGAGUUGCAUCCUAGAAAGCAAG
rnacentral:sRNA from 1 species